rnacentral:lncRNA from 1 species
UCAUUGAAGCCGCAAAAAUGCAUGCAAGGGUAGUGGCACACCUAAAAAUAUCAUCUCUCACCAUCAUCCUAUUAGUUCUGAUGUUUCCUGAGCUCCCUCAAUUGCACUGUUCAGAGAUUCAAACCCUGUGAUGGCAAAAGCAAAGUCAACCCCAAUUGUGUUAGAUUGCUAAGCUUAUCUAGUUGCUCAUAUGGCCUAUGGAAAAAACAAACUAUACUGUUUUGAACCAAUACGCAUGCUAAUUAAAUAAACAAUAUAUUCAACUUGAAAGAUAUUUU